ACGUAGGGAGCAAGCGUUGUCCGGAAUCAUUGGGCGUAAAGCGCGCGUAGGCGGCCCUGUAAGUCCGCUGUGAAAGUCAAAGGCUCAACCUUUGAAAGCCGGUGGAUACUGCAGGGCUAGAGUCCGGAAGAGGCGAGUGGAAUUCCUGGUGUAGCGGUGGAAUGCGCAGAUAUCAGGAGGAACACCAAUAGCGAAGGCAGCUCGCUGGGACGGUACUGACGCUGAGGCGCGAAAGCGUGGGGAGCGAACAGGAUUAGAUACCCUGGUAGUCCACGCCGUAAACGAUGGGCACUAGGUGUGGGAGGUGUCGACUCCUCCCGUGCCGUCGCUAACGCACUAAGUGCCCCGCCUGGGGAGUACGGCCGCAAGGCUA
rnacentral:rRNA from 1 species